GCAGAUGCUUUAGAAAACUAACCUCACAGGUGUUUUUGGCCCAUGUGAAAUAAGCUCCAUGUUCUGAGAGGGCUGUGCUUAUGUGCUGCUGAGGGGAUAAAUUAACUGACUGGGCACUUACUAAGAACACUUGGUAAACAGGAAGCAGUGGCUAUUAUAAUCCAAACCCUUAUUCCAAUAUUGAGAUUAAAAGACAAGAUUUCACAGGUCCAGUUCGUUUUAUCAAAUAUCACUGAAGCCCAUUCUUUAUGCUACCACCAUAAGUCUCUUUACAAUCAGCCCUUUGCAUCAGCUCUCUGCUCCAUCCCUUUCCAACCACUUUGCUUGAAAUGAGAGACUUCACUUGACUUGGCCAUUUCUUGUCAACCUGACUGGGCUACUCGGGAGUGUUGGGGAAGGUGGCUUAUGUCUCUGUGCAAUGUCUUCCGUCCCUUUCACAUCAGCAAGGGUGGAAAAGCAAUACUUAUUGGAAAAAGUGGGAAGAGAAGAGGUUGGAUGGACUAUGGAGGUAGAAGGAAGAAGGCCAAAAUGAGAAAGAGGAAACUCAGUUAAAUCAAAUAGAAGUCUAGGAUGCCUACAGCCUCUUCUCUAUUUGACCAGUUGACGUGAAAAUGGAGGCACUACGGACAAUUAGACCAGAGCAGUUUCCGGGCAGACAUGACUCAGCAUGUCCUCUGCAGGCAGCGCAUGCGCCAAACCGUGUAUAUAAACGUAUCUUAUGUAAUGUGCAUACUGGCUGUGUGCCACUUUUGUGUGGAAGUCGUAUAAGUGUGGCUGCAGGGGAAGCCACCAGGGCUCCCUCCCUCUGUCCGCCAAAGAGAAUAAAGCAGGUCUAC